rnacentral:lncRNA from 10 species
AAAGUGCUGGGAUUACAGGCAUAAGCCAGCACUUCCGGCCUAAUUUUUAAAUUAUUAUUUAUACAGACAAGGUCUCACUAUGUUGCCCAGGCUAGAAAACCUGUUUUUAAAGCACACUUGUGGGACAAACUUGCCCCCAGUUGAGAAUGACUGAUCUAGACAUUAAAAAACAUGAUCUGGGAUACUGGUCCUUCCCAGAAACAACUAGGUGGACACUGAAUGCUGAAACUGUAGACAUUUAAUUUAUAAAAAAUUUAAUAAGAUUUAAUUAUUUAAAAAAAUUAAAAUUUCUUGACUUUAAUUAAAUAAUUCUUAUUUAGAAUUUUGAUAGUCAAUACUUACAAUUUUUAGCUUGACUUUUAAUUUUAAUACUUUUAAAACUUUUGAGAGAAAUAAAUUUUUGAAAACAUACCAAAAAGUUAUUUUUUUAUUUUUACAUUUGUUUUCAUUUAAAUUUUUGAUAAAAAUAAUAAAAUUGCAUAUAUCUUGAAGAUAUAUUUUAAUCCUUUCGAUUAUUAUUAAUUAAAUUAAAAUUAUGUGAAAGUAUUGAUUACAACAUAGCAAAGAAGCCUACAUAGAUGGGAGGGGGGGGGCUGUACCACAGUUAUGGAGGCUGACUGAGGGUCUCCUUGCUUCUUCCUUCCAAACCGCCUCUCCACUGUGGUACAGAUUUCAUUUCCCAGAGACCUCAGCUGGGGCUGUUCCCCUUCCCUGGUCUUCCCUCUCUAAGAUUCCCCUCCAAUCUACCCUGUUUUCUUUUCUAUUCCCUUCAGCCCUUCCCAUUGUGAGAUAGUAAUGUUGGUCAAAAGGAGUGCUGGUCACCAAGGCUACUUUGGAAAAGGGUCAUAAGUGCUUUUAGGAAGCAGGGGGUGUGCAGGACCAACGAAGCAGUCAGGGGUAAGACAACAGGAAAUAAAUAGCAGAGCUGAUGGUAAACUCCUCAAGAGCAUAUGCCUACUCUAAAUUUGAAAAAAAAAAAUUUAAAAAGCCAUUUUGAUCAAACAAAUAUUUGUAGACUAGACUGAGCCCACAAGCUACUGGGUCUUAAAAAUCUCUCCAGGUGAGUCUAAUGAGCUAAUGCUGAGAACCACACAAGACCAGUAGAAGGGCUGUGUAUCAGUCAGGGUCCCCAAAGAAAUAGAACCAAUAAGGUGCAUGUGUGUGCACACGUGUGUGUGUGCCUACACAGGCAUGUAUGUAAAAUAAGGAACUGAUUUUACAUGAUUAUGGAGGCUGCCAAGCCCCAAGAUCUGCAGAGCAAGUCAGCAAGCCAGAGUCCCAGGACAGCUGAUGGUGUAGUUCCAGUCCAAAUGCCAGCAGGUUCAAAAACACAGAAGAGCCAAGGUUUCUAUUUGAGUCCAGUCAAGAAAAAACUGAAGUCCCGGUUUAAAGGCAGCCAGGCAAGGGGGAUUGUCUCUUCCACGGGAGAAGGGUCAGCUUGUUUCUUCUGUGCAGGCCUUCAACUGAUCAGAUGAGGCUCACCCACAUUAGUGAGGGCAGUCUGCUUGACUCAGUUUACUGAUUUAAAUGCUCAUCUCAUCCAAAAACACCCUCGCAAAAACAUCCAAAAUAAUGUUUGACCAAAUGUCUGGGCACCCUGUGGCCCAGCCAAGUUGACACAUAAAAUUAACUACCACAAGCUGUUCUUAACCAGCCUUACCCAUCAGACUCUCCUUAAGAACAUUCUCAAAAUGGAGUUUCUGUUCCAACACUGGAGUAUCUGACCGGUCAGGAAUGGGGUGGGGCCUACAGAAGUGUGUUUUGCUUUCAAGUUAAAGGCUCAGCAUAAACUGGGAUGGGAAGCAGGAGUCAAAUCUAUAUUUA